GAUGAAGAACGUAGCGAAAUGCGAUACGUAAUGUGAAUUGCAGAAUUCAGUGAAUCAUCGAAUCUUUGAACGCACAUUGCGCCUGCCAGCACUCUGGCAGGCAUGCCUGUUCGAGCGUCAUUUCAACCAUCAAGCCCUAGGCUUGCGUUGGAGCCCUGCGGCUGCCGCAGGCCCCUAAAAGCAGUGGCGGGCUCGCUAUCACACCGAGUGCAGUAGAUUACUCUUCGCUCAGGGCGUGUGGCGGGUUCUAGCCGUGAAACCCCCUACUUCUCAAGGUUGACCUCGGAUCAGGUAGGAAUACCCGCUGAACUUAAGCAUAUCAAUAAGCGGAGGA
rnacentral:misc_RNA from 1 species